rnacentral:rRNA from 1 species
AAUCGAAGCAGUGAACUUAAGCCCCAGUAAACGGCGGCCGUAACUAUAACGGUCCUAAGGUAGCGAAAUUCCUUGUCGGGUAAGUUCCGACCCGCACGAAAGGCGUAACGAUUUGGGCACUGUCUCAACAACAGACUCGGUGAAAUUGUAAUUCCGGUGAAGAUGCCGGAUACCUGCGACAGGACGGAAAGACCCCAUGGAGCUUUACUGUAGCUUGACAUUGGGUCUUGGUACUACAUGUACAGGAUAGGUGGGAGGCUUUGAAACCAGGACGCCAGUUUUGGCGGAGC